UACGGAGGGUGCAAGCGUUGUUCGGAAUCAUUGGGCGUAAAGCGCGUGUAGGCGGCUUGGCAAGUCGGUUGUGAAGGCCCGGGGCCCAACCCCGGAACUGCAUCUGAAACUGCCUGGCUAGAGUCCCGGAGAGGAAGGCAGAAUUCCCGGUGUAGGGGUGAAAUCCGUAGAUAUCGGGAGGAAUACCAGCGGCGAAGGCGGCCUUCUGGACGGUGACUGACGCUGAGACGCGAAAGCGUGGGGAGCAAACAGG
rnacentral:rRNA from 1 species